UACGAAGGGGGCUAGCGUUGCUCGGAAUUACUGGGCGUAAAGCGCACGUAGGCGGCGAUGACAGUCAGAUGUGAAAUCCCCGGGCUUAACCUGGGAACUGCGUUUGAAACUACAAGGCUAGAGUGUAGCAGAGGGGGGUGGAAUUCCACGUGUAGCAGUGAAAUGCGUAGAGAUGUGGAGGAACACCGAUGGCGAAGGCAGCCCCCUGGGUUAACACUGACGCUCAGGCACGAAAGCGUGGGGAGCAAACAGG
rnacentral:rRNA from 1 species